rnacentral:rRNA from 1 species
UACGGAGGGGGCAAGCGUUGUUCGGAUUUACUGGGCGUAAAGGGUGUGUAGGCGGCUGGAUCAGUCUGGUGUGAAAUCUUCACCGCUUAACGGGAAGGGGUCACUGGAAACUGUCCAGCUUGAGUAUGGUAGAGGCAAGCGGAAUUCCUGGUGUAGCGGUGGAAUGUGUAGAUAUCAGGAAGAACACCGGUGGCGAAGGCGGCUUGCUGGGCCAUCACUGACGCUGAGACACGAAAGCGUGGGGAGCAAACGGG